GACGAACGCUGGCGGCGUGCUUAACACAUGCAAGUCGAACGGAAAGGCCCUGCUUUUGUGGGGUGCUCGAGUGGCGAACGGGUGAUUAACACGUUAGUAACCUGCCCUUGACUUUUGGAUAACUUCAUGAAACUGGGGCUAAUACCGGAUAGGAGCUCCUUCUUCAUGGUGGGGGUUGUAAAGUUUCGGCGGUUGGGGAUGGACUCGCGGCUUAUCAGCUUGUUGGUGGGGUAGUGGCUUACCAAGGCUUUGACGGGUAGCCGGCCUGAGAGGGUGUCCGGCCACAUUGGGACUGAGAUACGGCCCAGACUCCUACGGGAGGCAGCAGUGGGGAAUAUUGCACAAUGGGCGGAAGCCUGAUGCAGCAACGCCGCGUGCGGGAUGACGGCCUUCGGGUUGUAAACCGCUUUCGCCUGUGACGAAGCGUGAGUGACGGUAAUGGGUAAAGAAGCACCGGCUAACUACGUG
rnacentral:rRNA from 1 species